rnacentral:misc_RNA from 1 species
AAGUCGUAACAAGGUUUCCGUAGGUGAACCUGCGGAAGGAUCAUUAUUGAAUUGUGAAGUGGGGCUUGAUGGCUGGCCUUGUCCAUCCUUUGGCUGCCAUGUGCUCGCCCCAGCAAUCCUUUUCCAAACACCUGUGCCCUUCCUUGUGAGAAUGGGGAGAGAAAGGGCUUGCCUUUUUUUAUCUCGCCUCAUGAUCAUAAACGCUGUUUUGUAAUGUUGAAAUGCAUUUAUGCCGUCAAGGCUUUAACCUAAUACAA